UACGUAGGGGGCAAGGCGUUGUCCGGAAUCAUUGGGCGUAAAGCGCGUGUAGGCGGCCAGGUAAGUCCGUUCUGAAAGCCCGGGGCUCAACCCCGGGAGGCGGAUGGAUACUGCUUGGCUCGAGUCCGGAAGAGGCGAGUGGAAUUCCCGGUGUAGCGGUGAAAUGCGCAGAUAUCGGGAGGAACACCAAUGGCGAAGGCAACUCGCUGGGACGGUACUGACGCUGAGACGCGAAAGCGUGGGGAGCAAACAGG
rnacentral:rRNA from 1 species